GGCUGGGAAGUGAGGUAGGCUCCGACCUUUGAAGCUGCGAAAUUUGCCUUUGGAGUCCUGAGCAGACAUUUACGAAACCUGAGGCUGCCAUGCUGUGGGGAAGCCCAGGUCACAAGGAGAGGACACGUGUGGGUUCUCUGGCUGACACCACCAGCUGAGGUCCUUGCCGACAGCCAGACAUGUCCGGAAAUAGAAAAUUGUGCAACCUGGGGAGGACAGCAAGACCCUGAAAAGAACAUAAUUUUCUCCCAUUUGGAUUCACCCAGUGGGACUCUGAGAAAUCAAGGGUUUCUGCUUUGAAGUCAGAAACCACCUACCUUCAGCACUGUGGCUCGUGCUUCAAUGGACUCAGCUACAGAGUUUUAUCCCUUUUCCAACGUGGUAGAGGCUGAGAAACGAUGAUCUCUAGUAAACUACGUUACUCAUCUAUUGGGGGACGUGGGGAAAUUCAUCUGCUUGCAACAGCCACGGGUGGAAUUGCCCAUCCUUCUUCUUCCCUCUGCCGGCCCUGGAAAGUCAGGCUUCAGCUGCCAAAGAGGCUCGCUGUGAGAGCUCACGUCUUCUGGAAACGGUGGCCUUGUGCAAUUUCUAUCUGGUGUGGAGGAAUGUAGGUAUUUAUAGGGCUGUGCUUUCCUCAGCGCUUUUAUGCUUCAACAGAGAGGAUCGCUCAAGCACGUCUUUGGGCUAUUUAAAGCUCACAGAGAGCGCUCCCCUUCCCAGUGCGCACACAUGUGCCCCGGAAUCUCAGUGGAACACUGCUUGAAUUUGAGUGGCCGUGUUUGACACUGAAUCACAGACUGAGUUCAUUACGCGUGAGACGAGAGGAGCUGCCCACCCCCCCACCCCCGCCCCGCCUGUGGCUCACAAGUGAAGCCCACACGCAUGGGAGUAAGAAGUAGUCAUAAUGGUUAUGACGAACUGAUGCAGAAAGAGAAUCCAGCUCCCAGCCAGCAGCCAAAUCGCUUUCAUCCAGGCUGAUACGUGCCGAAUAUGUGGUUGACACUUCCACACGCACCCUCAUCUUACCCUCCCGUCAGCCCGGCGAGCUGGGUGGUGUUGUCAGCCUCCCUUGACCCAGAAGGUCACUCAGAGAAGUGACCUAGGUCAUGGUCACAAGUCAACCCAGGGUCCAGACUCCAAGCCCCUCAUUCUUUCCUCGAGCCACCUCCAUCUACUCCUGGUGAAAAGAUAAGUGAAGAAAACUCUACCCCAAAACUACAUCCGUGAUUUCCAAGCAAGCUUCAUUUUCUCCAGUUCCCAGUGCAGCCACUCGAGAAUGACUUUGGUGUCACCUCUUAUGUUAGGAAACUGUGUGCCAGGGAGAUCGGUGCUGAUAACCUUCAGUGCAGUGGUGAUGCAACUUGAUGAUUUUAAAUAAUUUAUUUUUGAGGUCGCAACCAGCGGAGUUUGUUUAUCUGGUGAGUUGUACUUCCCCUCUUCCCUCUCCUAUUUCCCUUUCUGAAUCGGUCACUUGGGAUGCUCAUCUCCCUGUGCAUCUGUGUGCACUUGAGAUCUGAAACCCAAGCCGGUGCUACCACCAGCUGCAGAAGCAUGCCACUCACAGGCAUUUUUGGAAACCAAAAAUGACCGGUCCCAUAACUGUGAUUAGAUAAAGCUUGUAAUUUGUGUUUGCUGUAGUCAGCGACGUGGUAUUUCGGGACAAACAGCCGCUCUAUGCUACAUAUAGCUUGGAAUUUGCGGCUUUUGUGUAACCUGCCAUUGCAUGAUCAAGGAGGUAAAGGAGAAAGAGAGAGAGAGGAUGGAUGAAGGGAGAGAGGGCGGGAAGCCCCGCUCAGCAGACAGGCGGAGGACCGGGGAAGCCGGAGAGCUCAAAGGGCCCGCGUGAAACAUGUAGCUGACUUGUCCUCAAGAGAGAUUCAGACAGUUGUUGUCAGGCUCUUGAACGGCCCAAUCCUCCUUUCCUAACAGCUGGAGACAUAUGACUCCCAGUGAGAGGCUCAGCCGUACCCCGGGCUCAAGGAGGGAUCCUAACCGGAGCCAGAGCGUGAUUUACGAAGCCCAAGUCUAAUUCUCCGGGGACUCAGCUUUUCAGUCCAGCUGAUAGAUAUUCCCCGAUCCAAUGCUUCAGUUCUAAAAGGUCAGCCUCCUUCCCCGUCCGCAGUUCUGGGAACAAUAUCCUUGGCUUUCCUCUGAGUCUCAGCUGGAUAAAGGCCUUCAUUCAUUCACUAAACAUUGACCUAAGGCCUUCACAUGCCAGGCCAGGAAGGACAUUGUGGAUACAGAAAUAAGUCAGCCUGAAUCCCAGGCCUCCACACAAAGGCACAAUCAGUUCUGCUGUGUCCUUCUUCUCUGUCAAAUGUGUACAAUGAAGGUGUCUUUCCCUGAACAGAGAAAGUGCAUCUCCCAAUACUCACUCAUCCCUAACCCUGAAUAAGAAAGAGGAAUGUUAACGUCAUUGGGCACCGCGACCACAUUUAACUCUGCCUUAACAGCUAUCCUCUUACAACAGGUUUAAAGACAUUGCUGCUUUUCAGAUGGGAAAACUGAGGCCCAGAGGGCUGAGGGGACUUGUCUAAAGACGUGGAGCUAGGUGGUGGCAGAUCCAGUGUGGAACUCAGGUCAGCCCGACGCCUAAUCCUGAGCCCUUUCCUCCAUUCCCUUGAUUCACGACAUCCAGAUUAUGCCUGUAAGUCGUAAAUGGAAAUUGUCCCAUUCAAUCAAUAUUUUAAUUGAUUUUGGGGGCUCAAAUAUAUAGCAGAUAUAGAUCACGCCCUUAAAGCACUUAGUAUUUGUGGGAGGUGUUAAUCUAUGCACAGAAAGUUUUGUUAAAAUGCAGAAAAUGCCAAGUGACCCCGAAAAAGGGAGCAGAGAGUAUUGGGAGAACUUGGUAUCUGGGUAGCGUGAGAUCACUUUCUGUAGGGCGCAGGCAUCUGAGCUGACUCUUGGAAGGAUCUGGAGGGAGAUGAGAUUGAGAGAAGACAGCAUAAGAUCACGCUCAUCUCGGGGGCAGGUGGGGCACCGGGAGGGAAAGGCUGGGCUGGGUAGGAACUGGGAAAAGGCGUCAUAGAGAAAGGAGCGAGCAUAAGCUCAGGCUUAGAGGUCUAAAGUACUCGGCAUGUUUGGAGAAGGCUGUUGUUAUCCAGCACAGCCAGGAAGGAUUGGAACGGUGAGGCGGGAUGCUCCUUCAAGUGACUGUAUGGAUCAGUGGAAGCCCACUGACCCAGGGAACUCUCUGGAAUGGUUGGAUUUUGACGACUUUGCAUAUCUCAGGUAUAUCUUCUGGAUUCAUCUCUGGGCCACAUCUCACAGGUCUUUUCUAGAGGACAGUGAGUAGGUCAAAGUUCCUGCCCUUGGCUCUAUCUUUACCGAAUUUUCAACUCAAUUCAAGCUCUGUCUCCAUGGUACUAAAGAGCUUAAUAAAAUGUGACACAGAGCUGUUUGCGUCAUAUCAGGGAGAACAUCUGGAUAUCUGGAAACAUCUGGACAGCUCGCCAAAAUAAAUAAAUAAUACUUUGUAUCUGAGAGUGUUUGGUAUUAUGGGACAUAAACAAAGUCUGAAUCACCAGCAUGUCUUUUAGAGCUUGUCUCUUGUCCACUUUCAUCUUCCCUGUUUGUUGCAGGUAUGACAAGCAAUUCCACUUGAAACGUUAUAGAACUGGUUGGUUCAUCUCUUACUGUUAUAUCUUGGGGGAGGAAAAAGUAGGCCAUCUCCUUAAAAAGAAAUCCAGUUCAUUUAUUAAACCUGAAAAAUAUUUAUUAAGACCCUUCUUAGUUUGAGGUCUUGUGCGGGAGUUGAGGACAGAGCGAUGACCAGGAUGCAGGCCUUGCCCUGCAGGAGGUCGCUAUCUCACAACCAAGUAAUCUCAACACAGAGUGAUUGGGGCUAAUAAACAUGAACGCAGAAAACUUACGGGCGCAGAUGAAAAUGUUAUUGACAGGGGAGAAGGAAAAAGGCGGGGGAAAGAUCUGGUGAUGGAGUAAUUUUUGCCUAGAGUCUUCAGGGGUAAAUUGGAGUUGUCUGGUAGAAAAGGGGAAGAGGCAUCACAGGCUGAGGAGACGGCCAGAGCACAGGCGUGGAGACACCAGAUGACUAAGAAUGUUGGGGGAAAUGUACGAUGUUCAGAUGGCUUCUGGGCAGAGUGAAGGAGGGCUGUGGUGAGAGAUAAGUUCAGAGAAGAAGACAAGGGCAAUAGGAUGGAAGGUACCAUGGCUUAUAAAGCCCUGGCCUCAUCCUGUGGGUCAUGGGAAGCCCCACAACCCCAAAGCACCCUGUCCUUCCUUCCUACAGCUAAACACACACCAACCUGUCCACCUCACUCCCAGAGUUACCACCAAGAGAAGAAAGUGCCUAUGACCACCAAAGACAUUCUAGAAUGUUCAACAGCACCGUCAUUUGUAAGAGCUCCAAACCAGAAGCAAUCAAACGUCUACCAGUAGGAUAAUGGCUACAUGGAUUGCCAUAUUUUCAUAUAAUAGAAUACAUGACAGCAAUAAAUAGGAGUGAACAAUAAAAAGUGAACAAAAUAACGAUACUCACCAGACAUGGAUGAAUCUCACAGACAUUACGGGGAACAAAAGAAGCCAUUUAUGUGUAAUUUCAUUUAUAUGAAGCCCAAGAACAGGAGCCUUAAUCUGUAGUGCCUGAAGUCCGAACAGCGGUUAUGGGGGUGGGUAUUGACGGGAGAGGGCGUAAGAGAGCCUUUUGGGGAGCUUGGGAGUGUCCUGUAUUUUGUACUGUUGACAGUUAAUGUGGGUGUAUAUGUAUGUAAAAACUCAACUGGCUCUACUGUGAGAUUAGUAUACUUUACUGAGUGUUUUAAUUCAAUAAAAAAGUAAAACAAAACAAAACUAACA